CCUACGGGAGGCAGCAGUGAGGAAUAUUGGUCAAUGGGCGCGAGCCUGAACCAGCCAAGUCGCGUGAGGGAAGACGGUCCUAUGGAUUGUAAACUUCUUUUGUCGGGGAGCAAAAGACGCCACGCGUGGCGUUCCGAGAGUAUCCGAAGAAAAAGCAUCGGCGAAGUCCGCGCCAGCAGCCGCGGUAAUACGGAGGAUGCGGGCGUUCUCCGGAUUUAUUGGGUUUAAAGGGAGCGUAGGCCGCAUGUCAAGCGUGCUGUGAAAUGUCCGGGCUCAACCCGGGCCUUGCAGCGGAAACUGGCGGGCUUGAGUGCGCGGAGAGCAGGCGGAAUACGUCGUGUAGCGGUGAAAUGCUUAGAUAUGACGAAGAACCCCGAUUGCGAAGGCAGGUGGCUGCAGCGGAACUGACGCUGAGGCUCGAAAGCGCGGGUAUCGAACAGGAUUAGAUACCCGGGUAGUC
rnacentral:rRNA from 1 species